GUAAUGGCUCCAUUGCUGUUGAAACGUCUGACGCGGUGGCUGGGCCUGUGGCUGACGCCUGGACCUGGGAAGUUCCCGCUCCUGCGUUUUCUGCUCACCCAGCAUGUCUAUCAAGAAGAUGGUGAUUGAAAAAUCUGUGACAAUGUCAACAAGGAUUUCCUGGAGGAUUCUGCCCUGGACACCCCAGUGAAGGUUCCCUAAGGUCAUCGCCUGCCUUAUUGCUAUAUUCAGUGGACACUUUCCAGCCCUCGGGCCUAACAGCAUUUGCACUGAGUGUCUGCUCUGAAGUGUCCCUUCUUUCCCUUGGCUCUUAUGAUCUCCCUCCCACACCCCCCCUCUGCUCCUCCUCCUCAGUCUGUCCCUUAAAUGUUGAUAUCCCCCACAGUAGUGUUUCAAGUUCUUUCCUGGUUCGGAUGGUUGGAUUCACUUACCAGCUGUCCUCAUGUUUAACUUUUCCAAAAUGGAACUAGUCACUAUGCUGUCUAGACCCUCAGCUGUGGGUGCAGCAGGCAGCUCAUCACCAAUGUCAGAAACUUAGCACUGCCCUUAAUCACCUUUCCUCUCACCUCAGAUAUAAUUGGUCACUAAAUCAUAUCAAUUCCAGCCCUUUAAUGUCAUGUUCAUUGUCAGG